GAUGAAGAACGUAGCGAAAUGCGAUACGUAAUGUGAAUUGCAGAAUUCAGUGAAUCAUCGAAUCUUUGAACGCACAUUGCGCCUCCUGGUAUUCCGGGAGGCAUGCCUGUUCGAGCGUCAUUAAAAUCACUCAAGCUUAGGUUUACCUAUUGCUUGGUCUUGGAGAUGGAAGCCAAUUCAUUGGAAUCCUCUUCGAAAUCCAAUGGCGAAGACCCUUGCUCUCCCAAGUGUAGUAAUAACUUAUGUCACUGAAGGAAGCGAGAAAUCUUCCGCCGUAACCCCCAUAUUUUCUAUGAUUGACCUCGGAUCAGGUAGGGAUACCCGCUGAACUUAAGCAUAUCAAUAAGCGGAGGA
rnacentral:misc_RNA from 1 species